rnacentral:tRNA from 1 species
GGACUUGUAGCUCAGCUGGUUAGAGCGUACGGUUCACAUCNNCAUCCGUAAGGUCAGAGGUUCGAGUCCUCUCAAGUCCA